UAUAACAUAUAACAUAUCUUAACAAGCACCUCAAACUGACCAAUAACACUGUGAAAUUAUCGAGUCGAAUUUUAAGGUGCAAAUUGUACACAAAUUACUUUGUGCUUUCGCGGUUGCAUUCGCUUUCAAGUCACUUUAACGUUCUUUUUUCAGCCCUAAAAAGAUGAAGAAAGCUGAAAUGACCUUCUCGUCGAGUAAACUCGCGAAUAUCGCGUUGGUGGCCAUCGUGGCCAUUUUUUUAAACGUGUUUUUAGUCAGCGCUGGUCCAGUUUUCGCUGCUGAGACGUUCUUUUUUCUUCUUGUCAUUGCAAUAUCUAUAACAUUUCUCUUUUUCUUACCGCCACUCGGUCCGAUUCUCUUCAUCUUGUAUUUGUUUUUCAGUCUCUAUUUAAUCAUCAAGCAUUACUUCGAACCGGAUCCUUGAGAAUGAAGCCAUGAAAAACCAGAAGUUUCCACAAAUGAAAAAACAUCGUCAUCACAAAUUUUCUAGUAGCAAGAAAAUAAAACUAUUUGCAUUGUUAUGUUUUGUCAUUUGAGGCAACUUUCGUAUAGAAAUAAAACCGAUGUAUUUUUUCA